CAAUUAAUGAGAAGCCAAUAAAAACUGCCUUAAGAGGAUAAACUUUGCUUUUCAGACUCCCUUCCAAUGGUUAGCAUUAUGAACAGCGGGGAGCCAGGACACGGCUCAGCUCACUCAUGCCCAGAGAGAGAAACAGUUAAGCUGCUGACCCUGAAGGGAGAGCUGUCCAUGUAGCUGUGUGUGGGAGCCACCGGAUGAAGCAGCCAAGACAGAGCGAACAGUUUGAGAGACCUAGUGUGUGUAAGCUGCUGUUGAGAGAGCUGCUGAAUAAAACUACCUUUCACCUGCCUACAGCCCUCCAAGUGUUCUUUUAGCUCUCUGCUCACCCACCCACUCCCUUCAGAUCUCAGCAUGAGCUGGAACCUGACCCCAGCAUAACAUCUGGCGUAGUCAUGGACCUGACAAUUGGCAUAGUUGGCAGGAUAAGGUGAGUGGGUCUUUGGCCCCUGAAGGCUCCCGGGUUGGCUCUGUGGCUGCAGCAUGGGCUGUGGUACCUGGUGUCAGUGGUGCUGCUUGGAUGGGCCCCAAUGGAAAUGUGGGAGGC
rnacentral:lncRNA from 1 species